UACGUAGGGUGCAAGCGUUUGUCCGGAAUUAUUGGGCGUAAAGAGCUCGUAGGCGGUCUGUCGCGUCUGCUGUGAAAACUCGGGGCUUAACCCCGGGCCUGCAGUGGGUACGGGCAGACUAGAGUGCGGUAGGGGAGACUGGAAUUCCUGGUGUAGCGGUGAAAUGCGCAGAUAUCAGGAGGAACACCGAUGGCGAAGGCAGGUCUCUGGGCAUUAACUGACGCUGAGGAGCGAAAGCGUGGGGAGCGAACAGG
rnacentral:rRNA from 1 species